GGUAGAGCAACUGACUUGUAAUCAGUAGGUCACCAGUUCGAUUCCGGUAGUCGGCACCA
rnacentral:tRNA from 2 species